GGGGGAGUGGGGAGCAUGCCUGCUGCUGCCGUCCUGGCGACUUGUCGAUGCUGCUUGUUGUUGUUGUAUUUGUAUUUGUUGUUGUUGUUGUUGUGUGUGUGUGUGUGUGUGUGUGUGUGUGUGUGUGUGUGUGUGUGUGUGUGUGUUUGUUUUUUUGUUUGUUUCCCAGAGGCUCUCAUACCACUUCUUCCCUCACUACCCUCCCUAUCCUCACCCAUCUAGCAGGCCAACCCCACUGUCUCUUAUGUCCUUACGGAAUUACCGUGUUUUGGAAUUUCGUUGUACCCAAUUUAAUGGUUUUCCUGUCUCGCAUCCAUACUCUUCGCCUUCAGACUCGCUGUCACUGUAUUGUAAACAGUGUCACAUGGCCUUUGUAGCCUGGCAGAUCCUCUUUUGGAACAUUAGAGUUACAAUUACCACCCAAUGGAGGUGAAAUCAGUAGGUCCUGGCGUUUCUCCACCUUGUAGGAGGGAUAUGUUCACGAAUAAAAUGAGUAUAUUAGUAGGAGCAAGAAGAGGAAGAAGAAAUAAGUAGAGGAGGUAAAGAAAGAAAAUACAAUGCAAAGAUAAAUAUAAUUUAAGUAAACUCUCCACCUUGUCAGUUCUUGAAUGUAAUAUGGUAAUGGAAAUAGGAAGAAAUAAGUAAUGGUGGAGGUAAAGGAAAAAAAAAACGAUGUAAAAUUAAAUGUAAUGAAAGUAACAUUAAAAAUACACCCGAAAUAGCAAUAAUUAAUAGUAAAAUUUUAAAUGUAGGUAACCAUCCCAUGAUAUAGACUGGACUGAGCACGGCAGUUCCGCCAUGUGUCUGAAGAGCAAAUAGGGGUAGGAGUGAAGAAAUCAAGCAAUUUUCAACUGUAAUUGUGUGUAAAUAGUUAGUAUCUCCUGAUGGAGUGACAGUAGGAGUGCAGCGGUGGUAAUAGUAAUAGUAGUAGUAGUAGUAGUAGCAGUGGUGGUGGUAGUGGAAUGGUAUAAGUGAGGUAAUAGGAAAAUAGUUGUUGUGCCUGUCUCUGCAUCGGUAGGAAUUAAGGGAAAUUUCAUUUGUUGGUUUAUUUCUAUGUUGGUAUUAUGGUCUCGGUAUUUGGCGUAGCCCUUUAUGGAAGCUACAACAUGGGACAGUGUUAAAUUUGUACUCUUUCACCAGUCUUUUGCAGACUUUUUUUUUCUGUUAGUUCUCGGCCUAUUGAAUGAAUCUGCAUGUUGUUUCUUUCAAAAAAUCAUUAGUUUUUAUUUAUUACACCCUUAAGAAACUAAUGGAAUGAAAAUGAAAAACAGAUUAAUGGAAAAGAGACUUAAAUCUACCAGAAUAAAAUUGUUUUGUCGACAGAAAUUAGUAACACUGCAAUGUUUCCCUCCAAGACGACUGGCUACCGCAUGCCCGUGACCGCCAGCUGGCUGUCACAAGUCACCACCCAACCCAAUAGGUGAGGAGCAGCACCAGCAGCAGCAGCAGCAGCAUGGCAGAGCAGAGGCCCAGGGAGGGGAGCCAACGAAGGCAGAAGGCUGUGUGCUUGUCAAGUUUGUCACUAAAAAGGACCAGUUCGGACCCCUGAGACCUGCCCAAGUUUGUGGUGGAGGGGCAGCUGGUGAUUGGAAAACUUUGGGAUUGACCAAAGAGUAGAGGGAGGAGCCUGGAGGGACCCAGUCUCUGAGAGUGAUACAUCAGAACCCGCAAAGAAAUGGAAGAGAGUUGUCUGAAACAUGACAGAAAAGAAAUCUCACUCUGAAUCAAGAUGAGACUCAAAAGUUUGAGAUCCAUCCUGCUGCCCGAUCAAGAUGGAUGAACAUCUUCCUUCUUGAUCAAUAAACGAAGAAACGAAGAGGGGGCUUGCUCAAUGAAGACCAAAUAACUGUGUCCCCACUGCAGGAGUUAACCCCAUACGGGAUUGAUGUGGGAGAUGCCAAGUAGGGAUGUAACUGUUUUCCAUUAGCUGUUCCUGGAUGAGCAGUGACAGUCCACCACCUGUAUCCAAAUAAUGUUCAUCAGUUUUCCUGAAGUAGAGUAAAGCAUUUUUUGGAUAUAAUUCUUUAAUGAGGUUUAUUUUACUAGGAAAUUGUCAAUAUUUUGGUGGAACUUGCAGAAUAAUAAAAAUAGUUGUAUAUCAUUCUACACAAUAUACCACCUGUGAGAUCAUGUGAGAAUAUAGGAGCAGCAAAGUUUUAAGUUUUACAGCCUCUUACUUAAUAUAUUUUUAAAGAAAAUGUGAUGAAUUUUUCUUUUCACUAAAUGAAUGAUUCUGUAUUACAUAGUGUAAUUUUGUAAACUGAAAUAAAGGGCACUCAUAAAUAUAUAUGUCUUACUUUAUCAUAGAUUGUGUAAUUUUGUAAAUGAAAUAAAGGGCACUCAAAUAUAUAUGUCUUACUUUAUCAUAGAUUGUGUAAUUUUGUAAACUGAAAUAAAGGGCACUCAUAAA